rnacentral:rRNA from 1 species
GACGAACGCUGGCGGCGUGCUUAACACAUGCAAGUCGAACGGUAAGGCCCUUCGGGGUACACGAGUGGCGAACGGGUGAGUAACACGUGGGUGAUCUGCCCUGCACUUCGGGAUAAGCCUGGGAAACUGGGUCUAAUACCGGAUAGGACCCUGGGAUGCAUGUCCUGGGGUGGAAAGCUUUUGCGGUGUGGGAUGGGCCCGCGGCCUAUCAGCUUGUUGGUGGGGUGAUGGCCUACCAAGGCGACGACGGGUAGCCGGCCUGACGAGGGUGACCGGCCACACUGGGACUGAGAUACGGCCCAGACUCCUACGGGAGGCAGCAGUGGGGAAUAUUGCACAAUGGGCGCAAGCCUGAUGCAGCGACGCCGCGUGAGGGAUGACGGCCUUCGGGUUGUAAACCUCUUUCAACACCGACGAAGCGCAAGUGACGGUAGGUGCAGAAGAAGGACCGGCCAACUACGUGCCAGCCGCCGCGGUAA